CACACACACAGUGUCACCUAUGUCACGAGUUUUGCUUGUCAGCAACUUGAGGUGCAGUUUCCCAGAAACCCCUGCACCUGUCACCUUGAAGCCUGGCAGGCGUCAUGCUCUCCAUAGAGCCUACCAUCCCUACACGUUUCAUCCAAA